UACAGAGGUCUCAAGCGUUGUUCGGAUUCAUUGGGCGUAAAGGGUGCGUAGGUGGCGAGGCAAGUCAGAUGUGAAAUCCCGGGGCUCAACCCCGGAACUGCAUUUGAAACUGCCUUGCUCGAGUACUGGAGAGGAGACUGGAAUUUACGGUGUAGCAGUGAAAUGCGUAGAGAUGUGGAGGAACACCAAUGGCGAAGGCAGCCUCCUGGGCCAAUACUGACACUCAUGCACGAAAGCGUGGGGAGCAAACAGG
rnacentral:rRNA from 1 species